GCACCCCCUGUCCAAGACAAUCUCCACGGCUAUGAACUCGACUAGUGUGUUUUUAAUUAAGUUGGCCAAUGAGACAGACACCAUACUGUCCAACUCAAAGAUGAGAUAUAAUCGUUUGGCCCUGUGAUUCUUCAGGACAAGAUCUUGAUGCCAUCCACACUCAGUACAUGACGAAGGUUUUCUGCGAUCCACAGCGGAAGGCAUCAAGGCGUGAGAUGUUGGCCUGGACU